ACACCCCACCUGAGAUGUUUUGGGGAUGGGGCUUUUCUUCCCACUGUGCGAACCCUUGACAGUUCUUGACAUGUCAAAGAAGCGCCAAGAAAUGUGCUUAUAACCUCUGCAGACUAAACCACGUGGGUGCUCCCAACAAGCCAUGGCAAAAGCAUGGGAUGAGUCUCAAGAGGAGGAUGGGGCUGGUUUAUGUCUAUAGUGAAACUAACAGGGUAGAGAGUGCCUAUGGUGUGAAAUGGGUGCAGGAAAGACCUCACAUUAAAAAAGAUCAAUUUCUUUUGGGCUGUUCAGCUCAGAUUGUGCAACUUGACUUUGUGUGGAGAGAUGUUUGCAGCUUUUACCAUUGCAGACAGCACUGCAGGAGGUUAGCACUCUGCAAAGAAAGGCUCAUGCAUCAAACCAGGUGUCUCAUCUGAAAUUCUCAAAGCUAUAUUAGGGACUUGUCUAUGAAUUUGGCUUCAAGGAGCAUUAGCAAAUAGGUUUCAUCUCACCUAACUUUAGUAAACCACAGUCUUUACCUGAGCUUCCUCUGAUGGUCACCAGAGGGAAAUGGCAGUUUUUAAGGUGUGCUUUCUUACUGAGCUGUCUAUUUGAGGCUGGGAUGGAGAAUCCCCAGGUAGAGCCCAUAAACAGAUAUUGCAGAUGUUUGCAGCUGAUCAGGUGGAUCCAACUAAAACAACAGGCCAGAAUCCAUCCUUAGGCUCACAAUUUCUUGCUCUCAAAGCCUUGUCAUUUUUCUAUCCCUGCAAACUUGACUUUAGCUAUUUUUUUCAGUUUGCAAUGGUUAUAAAUUGAAUUUACAUGUAAUAAAAGAUGCUGUCCACGAGCAUAAAAGAACAACUGAUGAUUCAUGACUUUUAUUUCUGCAACUUCUCACUUGCAGACUGUCUAUUUGACAAACUGUGAAUCAUAUACAUUGGCUUGGAUGGAUAUACUUAGCUCUGAUUUGUACAAGUGAGAUAGAAUUUUCCAACACAGUUUUCACGUGUUGACAGCUGAACUGGACUAUUUUCAUCUCAUUAAUGUCAGGUAGAGAGCGAAUAUGUUUCCCUUGCCACUCAAUAGUCCCGUUUAUACAUCCUACAGUCAUAGCAGCCCCUUUAGCAAGAGCAUCACAUGGGGACCUCAUAUUCAAUUGUUUAUCCAUCCUGACCUCUGAAGUAAACAGCCAAGAACAGCUUCCUAAAUAUUCCUUCUAUAAAAACUCCCAUGGGAUCACUCUUCCUUUGCAGCUCCUCUUCAGAGACCUGCCAUUUAUCUGCCUCGUAAUCCAUUUAAAACGUGCCACAUUGAUUUUUCACAGUGCUACCAUUCAAAACGCAGCGCAUGGCAGAACGCAACCCCCAGAACCGCUCAGAUGCUUCCCAAGUACCUAUUUCCAUGGAGAUGCAUGCCCACAUUUUCUGCUUCACUAAGUUGUAUCCCAGGCAGCUCCGUGCCUUCCCUGGGAGCAAGUGAACGUGCAGCCACACCAAAUCCCAUUUCUGCUUCUUCCGGCCUGUGAUGGGAAGCAUAGGAGAUUGGAGCGGAAUUACCAGCUGUGAGCUCCGAAACAACUGGAGAGGGUAAGACUGGUUUACAGCUAACCCUUUCAGAGAUAGCAGAGCUGUUAUUCCUGUGCUUGGAUACCAGUGCCUCUUGGUGGCUUUUAGGGAAUAUUUUGAGACAAUAUCCUGCACUCAGGGGUCCUAAAGUGGCCUGUGGAGAAGCAUUGGUCUGAAAAUCCCAUAUAAAUGCCCCGCUGCUAGCGCUCGAAACCACCCUGCUUUUGGAGUGGUUUUAAUUUAAGUUUAAAGGGCUGUGACUGGUGACCCAAGAGAAAUGCUGAAGGCUGAGGGUGGUCCUUGGUCCAGCACGUUCGGAUAAUAUUCCAGACAAUCUCUGUUUUCCUGUUGGUUGCCAAGUCCCUCAUGGGAUUAGUGGAACAGUGUCCAAAAGAGCUGUAUUUUGGGAUUACGAGGCAGCCUGUUGUGGGACUAAUAACACAGACAAAGAGGGGAAGCAUGAAGAAAGCCCAGUAUCCCCUGCUUAAUAUUGUACAAACCGAGGAAGUGGAGGGGGGGAAGAAGAGCUUCUUCCCUGGGGUAAAAGGAGCAACUGUUGUCUCCAGGUGGAAUUACGCAGUGGGAAGCCAGGCUCCCGUAAUUCCUCAAAUUCUGACCAAGAAUUGCCAAAGCUAGGCCCAGUGUGGGACACAGGGACACGUACAAAAUGAGCUAUCAUAACGGCAUCCUUCAUGCUCCGAAUUAAAGCUUAAACAAAGGCAGAAAUAGCCCUUCAUUUCCCCAGAGGACUCCGAUUCCUUGCUGUAAUGGCGGCAGGCGGGGGCUUAUCUGGCUUUCCCGCAUGUGGGAGUGUUUUCGCUCGCAGCUGCACUUCUCAUGUGGGGCAACUUGAGCAGCUAAAUGAAAAUGUUAAAAUGGGUUAAUCAGCUCAGCGCAACCAUUCCCAAUAUUUCCCAUAAAAAUCUGCCUCCCAUGUGGGCUGCAUCUCCGUCCCAUUUCGCAGCACUAAGCAGAGCCGAAGCGCCCCUUGGGCUGAACAUUCAGCACUCAGCACCAACCAUGCUCUCCCGUCUCAAUCUGGAAAGUGCCAGCUCAAGCUGAGACUCAAGAUGUGCCCUGAAGAGCAUAGUUUCUUUGCAGUACAACCCCCAGGGAAGGAGAAGCACUUUUCCUGAUCACCCUACAGCUUCUGGAGGAGGCUGGCAAUGACCACCAAUGAUGCACCCUGUUAGCCUGCCCCUUGCAAUGGAUGGCUGCAGCUCCCCUGGCUUUGGCCAGCUGUCUAUGAAGUGUUGCCUCUCUUCAUCUUGUAAGUGAGCUCAACAUGUUUACUUUUCCUUUUUUAAUUCUAACCAACUCAUUCCAAGGCUUUUCUCCACAAGCCCAUAUACCCUGAUGGUGCCUGGUAAAGACCCGGUGAAAGCCUGGAUGUUGCAGGUGAAGAGGGAUCCUCACCCUGACCCUAAAGGGUGCCACCCUUUUGGUGUUCUUGGUCUCGCUAAUUGCUGCUAUUUGUCGCACUAUAUCUCAAAAAUCGGACUCUUGAUGAGUAUGGUGAUUUGGGGGGAGAAGGUGGAUCUGGUCCCUGCUGUCACCCUGGGCUCUGCCUCUGCAUCUGGCCCAGCCGUGGUAGUGGUUGUGUCCCAGUUUCUGAGCUCUGACAACCUGAUGUAUUGACCUAAAUGAGUCUGGAAUUACUCAUAGCUACAUGGUUGUAGGUUCUUACAUUGAAGAGGCAGAAAAAGAAGAGCUAAAUUCAGUUCCAGCUGAAAUGUAAAGUAAUGAUAAUUAACAGAGUUAACUCUGCUCCCCAUUCAUCUUACCUGCAGAAAAAUUGGCCUAAAGGAGAUUUUGGUAGACAGCUCGUUCCAUCCUCCUUCCCUGCCAAAGGGUCAGGAUUGCUGAUGGAAGCUUUUCAAAGCUGUUCUCCAUCUCUUUAAGCAGUCACUACUUCAGCAGCAUCCCUGUUCCCAGAAAGCACUUCCUAGUGUCCCAUGUGGGUCCUUUCUGCCAUUUGAGCCCCUCACUCCAACACAGACAAUAAGAAGAGAUUAAGACUCAUGUUGCCCUAGAACAAACGUGUAGCAAUUUGUCCUCUGCUCCAGCUCCUCCUAAACCAGUGCCUUGGUGCCAUUUAGUUGAAGCAGAACUGUUUCACUUGGAAGUGUGUUUCUCACAUGCAGUAACUCAGUGUAUUUCCCAUGUGAUGCUAACAACAGUAGAAGGCAAGAAAUCACAUCAGGUGCAGAAAAGCGAGGAGAAGGCAAUGACAAGGCAGUGACACAAAUGAGACAAAGGACUGCACAGAAGAGGAAUAAACCUCAGGCAAACCGAGUAUGGGCUGAUACACCUCACCUGUGAACGUGUCACACUGUGCACUGAGACUCUGACUGGGUGCAGUGAGAGCAGAAUGUCAGGUAAGCACAAACUGUGGACGGUGACUUCUUGUCCUCCAAAUAAAGUGUUUCUUUUGUA